AUGAACGCUGGCGGCGUGCCUAAUACAUGCAAGUCGAGCGAACAGACGAGGAGCUUGCUCCUCUGACGUUAGCGGCGGACGGGUGAGUAACACGUGGAUAACCUACCUAUAAGCCUGGGAUAACUUCGGGAAACCGGAGCUAAUACCGGAUAAUAUAUUGAACCGCAUGGUUCAAUAGUGAAAGCCGGUUUUGCUGUCACUUAUAGAUGGAUCCGCGCCGCAUUAGCUAGUUGGUAAGGUAACGGCUUACCAAGGCAACGAUGCGUAGCCGACCUGAGAGGGUGAUCGGCCACACUGGAACUGAGACACGGUCCAGACUCCUACGGGAGGCAGCAGUAGGGAAUCUUCCGCAAAGGGCGAAAGCCUGACGGAGCAACGCCGCGUGAGUGAUGAAGGUCUUCGGUUCGUAAAACUCUGUUAUUAGGGAAGAACAAAUGUGUAAGUAACUAUGCACGUCUUGACGGUACCUAAUCAGAAAGCCACGGCUAACUACGUG
rnacentral:rRNA from 1 species